GACGAACGCUGGCGGCGUGCCUAAUACAUGCAAGUUGAGCGCUGAAGGUUGGUACUUGUACCAACUGGAUGAGCAGCGAACGGGUGAGUAACGCGUGGGGAAUCUGCCUUUGAGCGGGGGACAACAUUUGGAAACGAAUGCUAAUACCGCAUAAAAACUUUAAACACAAGUUUUAAGUUUGAAAGAUGCAAUUGCAUCACUCAAAGAUGAUCCCGCGUUGUAUUAGCUAGUUGGUGAGGUAAAGGCUCACCAAGGCGAUGAUACAUAGCCGACCUGAGAGGGUGAUCGGCCACAUUGGGACUGAGACACGGCCCAAACUCCUACGGGAGGCAGCAGUAGGGAAUCUUCGGCAAUGGACGAAAGUCUGACCGAGCAACGGCGCGUGAGUGAAGAAGGUUUUCGGAUCGUAAAACUCUGUUGGUAGAGAAGAACGUUGGUGAGAGUGGAAAGCUCAUCAAGUGACGGUAACUACCCAGAAAGGGACGGCUAACUACGUG
rnacentral:rRNA from 1 species